UCUCCCUGUCCCCAUGUCCCCAGUGUGUCCCCAUGUCCCCAGUGUGUCCCCAGUGUGUCCCCAUGUCCCCAGUGUCACCAUGCCGUGCUGUACGAGGUAUCGGAUGCUCUCCCUGUCCCCGUGUCCCCAUGUCCCCAGUGUGUCCCCAGUGUGUCCCCAGUGUGUCCCCAGUGUCCCCAGUGUCACCAUGCCGUGCUGUACGAGGUAUCGGAUGCUCUCCCUGACGCCGGAGCUGACGAGGUUGGAGGUGAAGCCGAGGAAGAUGGUGCAGCCCGAGGGGCUCUCCCUGUCCCAUGUCCCCAUGUCCCCAGUGUGUCCCCAUGUCCCCCAGUGUGUCCCCAUGUCCCCAGUGUCACCAUGCCGUGCUGUACGAGGUAUCGGAUGCUCUCCCUGACGCCGGAGCUGACGAGGUUGGAGGUGAAGCCGAGGAAGAUGGUGCAGCCCGAGGGGCUCUCCCUGUCCCCAUGUCCCCAUUGUGUCCCCAGUGUCCCCAUGUCCCCAGUGUCACCAUGCCGUGCUGUACGAGGUAUCGGAUGCUCUCCCUGUCCCCAGUGUGUCCCCAGUGUGUCCCCAUGUCCCCAGUGUGUCCCCAUGUCCCCAGUGUCACCAUGCCGU